rnacentral:tRNA from 1 species
GAACCCAAGGAGGCCUCGAGUGAGCUGAAUAGGAU